GCGACCCCAGGAUGGGCGAGGCCACCCGCCGAGUUUAAGCAUAUCAAUAAGCGGAGGAGAAGAAACU
rnacentral:rRNA from 3 species